rnacentral:misc_RNA from 1 species
AAGUCGUAACAAGGUCUCCGUUGGUGAACCAGCGGAGGGAUCAUUACCGAGUUCUUACAGAACCCAACCCUUGUGUGAUAAGCUCUCACCCAGCUUUUACACGGGAGUCUCGGCCUAAUCGCCGAGGCAGUGUAAAAAAAAAAAAACCUCUGUAUCAUUAUCACAAAUUUCUGAAGACUUUUUUAAGAGUCAAAACUUUCAACAACGGAUCUCUUGGUUCUG